GCUUUCCCCUUUCUGCCCUCAAUUUCUAUUGGCUAGUACUCCCCAUCUCCCACUCCUCAUUCGACAACACAACUCUCGCUCCUUCCCUCUGCUACUUCUGGUCAAAACCAACCAAACCCAUUAAUUCCAUACAAAAUUUUCGAUUUGCUCGGCUUCAAAAUCGCUCAGAAUCCGAUUUUUAUCCCCUUGUAUUUUCAUUAUCUCAUUUUCUUUUUCGUCCGUUUCCUUCUCUCUCACUCUCCCUUUCCCUUGUGGCCUCCCGGUUACCAUUUUUUGGUUUUGAUUUCUGGGCACCACAAUCACAAUGGUUGAUCGGGGAACUCUUUUCCCGGAAAAUCCUAAGGAAUCUGAGAAACCCAUUUUCUAAUUCCUCCUGUAUUCUCCUUAAAAGAAAAUUUUGAAUUGUUUUAACUUGUUAUUCAACAUGACUCGUCAGGUCCGAAGUCGAUCGAUGUCUCCAAACGGCAAGAGUCGGGCUUUAUUAACGGAGAAACCAACAGAAACGACGAAAAAAAUGGCGAAAACGACAACGAAGGGGGAGAACAGGGGAGACAGAAGUAUGAAAAUCAAGCGGUUCGGAGAGGUGGCUGGUGGGACAGCCGCAGAGUGCACGGCGGUUUGUUGUUGCUGUCCAUGUACGGUGAUGAACAUCCUGGUGUUAGCGAUUUACAAGAUGCCGGCUUGUAUUUGCCGGAGGGCCAGGGAACGACACCGUGUGAUGAAGAGGCAGCAGCAGACAUUGUUGGUCCACGCUGGGAGAAAUGAUCUGUGUAGAGAGGAAUUAGAGAGGGAAGUGCAAGCGGUCGCAGAGAAACAAAAGCCCUGUGGCGGCGGUGAUGACGAUGAUGGAAAAACGGAGGCCGUUGAUCUAGAAAAGGAG
rnacentral:misc_RNA from 1 species